rnacentral:lncRNA from 1 species
AAGUCAUACCUAGCUGGAUGUAGGCCAUGUAUUGGGUUGGAUGGGUGUUUUUUGAAAGGGGUUUGUAAAGGACAACUUCUUGUAGCAGUUUGCAAAGAUGGAAAUAAUCAGAUGCUUCACUUGCUUGGGCUGUUGUUGAGAUUGAAAAUAUGCACACUUGGAAGUGGUUUGUCAGAAUUUUAAAGAGUGAUGUUCAACUUGGAGAUGGUACAAAUCUGACCAUAAUAA